rnacentral:lncRNA from 1 species
GAUAUUGCCAAUCACAUUUUUGUAGACACAGGCUCAGAGAAGUGACAUUACCUGCUAGAUGUCACACAGCCCAUCUGGGACCCCAGGGCUCAAGCCCCUGCCCUCUGGCCCUGAGUCCUGCCUCUGUCUGUGGACUCCCAGCUCUUGCUGUUGCUAGAGUGUGCUGCUCCUUUACUUGGCAUGUCCACAUUCCUGGGUUGUCCAGGAACGCACAUUCUUGGAGAGGAAGGGGAAUAGAUAUUUUAGCCACAUACAACACUCUGAGCUUGCCAGGCACCUAAUAGGGACACUCAAUAAAUAUUAAUUAAAGAAUGCAGCCACAUUGGCUUAUGUGCUGGCCAGAUCCUUUAAAGUGUCAAGAAUAUUCCUUGAGAGACUGAGUGUUAGGCUGGAAGGCUGUGUGGAGGCGGAGAGGACAGAAAAGUCCUGGAGUAAUGGAGUGCAUUCUCUUGGAAGAUGAAAAUAUCCACCCGCCCCAGGGGGCCCCUAUCUGUCACUGUCACCAGGAGAGAAGGAGGAAGGGAACAUAUGUCUGUUGAGUGCCUCUGGGACCUGUAUUUUUCUUGCUGGGGUGGGAUUUAUUCCGCUUCUCCCGUACUCCUGCAUCUCCAAGGCCAGUGGAGGACACCAGGGGACAGCUGGCUGAGAUCAAGGGUGAGUGCGAUUGGUGGGGUGUGGAGUGGGGUGGGCGGGAGAUGGAAUGGGUGUGCCCACCCUCUCCUAGCGUCAUGAGGGAUUUACUGCUCAUUGAGUAGGUGUUCCUUAGUGUCUCUGGCUUGACAGCAGAAGUCUACUUGGAUAGGCAGUUCUGGGCACGCACAGCCAACUGUCGGGGCCUCUCCCCUAGUCUGAGUGUUCAUGCUCACAGAGCUGGUGUCCCCUGGAAUCCAGGGACUCGGAAGAGGGGAAAACUAAGCUGGAAGUGGAGAGUGAGGCAGAGGCCUGGGUAGGGAACCCUUGGGGAGCUCCCCCCAGCCUGAGGGCUGCUACCCAGUAGACCAAUGUGCCAGGAGGAGGAAGGAUGUGGGGGCAAAUGGGGAUCUCCCAUUCCACCCAGAGCCUGUGACUACCCUCUCUUUGCACUGGGAGGUAUUGCAUGCAGAAAGCAUAAGCAAGGCAAGUGAGGCUCCUCUGGGAAAGCCAGAACCUAGACAUUGAUCAGGCUCCUGGGGCUUUUUCAAAUGAGCUCAUCCCUGCUUUCCUAGGCCUCUUUUGGCAUUGAAUGGUAUUUCCCUUUGGUUCUUUCAAAAGCAAGAUGUGUUUGUGUAAUUUUAAACAAGUGAUCAAUUUCAGAUUAACGUCAAGGAAUUUCUUCAUCGUCUCCAUCAUCAAAUUCUACUUAACAUGCUCUGCCCAUUCCAAGAAAAAAAGAGGAAUGAAUGUGAACUCUUUUUGUACAUACAGCCAUUUACUCAAAAAAUGCAGCCGGCAGAGAUUCCACAGCUGGGAAGCUGACUGGUUGCAGUAGAGAAGCUGGCCAAAAUCCACCAAGAUGGCGACAAGAGUGACCUCUGGUCAUCCUCACUGUUACACUCCCACCAGCGCCAUGACAGUUUGCAGAUUCCAGG